rnacentral:lncRNA from 1 species
GGACUUUCUGGAAAACAAGUUCAGCCUUGCUAUCUGCGCCUGGCACGUGAGAAUGAAAACUGGUUUGUUUGGAGCAAAGGCCUCCCUGCAGUCACUGACAGGGUUUGGAAACAGCUCUGCAGGAUGUCCUGGGACCAGUGUGACACAACUGGGAGUACCAGCUAGCUGAAAAACUCGCUUCAGAAGCGCUCAGCCAUGGCCUGCUGAGGAACUGGAGAGUUACAAAGAGCCUUCUGCACUCGCCCACCUCUGGCCCUUCCUCCUUCCCCAUCACCAAUUUCUGCUCUGCCUUCCCAGUUGUGCUGAUCACGCACCUUUUGAUCUCACUGUGGUUUUGAACCUCCUGAAAUGAGUUUUGUA